rnacentral:rRNA from 1 species
UGGGGAAUAUUGGACAAUGGGGGCAACCCUGAUCCAGCAAUGCCGCGUGUGUGAAGAAGGCCUUCGGGUUGUAAAGCACUUUUAUCGGGAACGAAACAUUGUCGGCCAAUACCCGGCAAGACUGACGGUACCCGAGGAAUAAGCACCGGCUAACUCCGUGCCAGCAGCCGCGGUAAUACGGAGGGUGCAAGCGUUAAUCGGAAUUACUGGGCGUAAAGCGCACGCAGGCGGCCCUGUAAGUCGGACGUGAAAGCUCUCGGCUUAACCGGGAGAGGCCGUUCGAUACUGCGGGGCUUGAGGUAGGGAGAGGAAUGCGGAAUUCCCGGUGUAGUGGUGGAAUGCGUAGAUAUCGGGAGGAACACCUGUGGCGAAGGCGGCAUUCUGGCCCUCACCUGACGCUGAGGUGCGAAAGCGUGGGUAGCAAACA